rnacentral:SRP_RNA from 1 species
CCGCACUAGUCGGGGAGUUAGCGGUGCCCUCUACCUGCAACCCGCUACAGCAGGGAUGAAUCCCGGCCCCCGGACUCUUUCCGUGCCGUCCGCCCUCCGUAAGCAGCGAUGAUGGAUCGGUCCCGCGCAACGGCGUGCCGCGAACCGUGUCAGGUGGGGAACCAAGCAGCACUAAACGGAUUUCUCCGUGUGCCGCGGGGCUGCCGUUCCUGAGCCGGCUGCGCAGGUAACGGGCAUGGAUUGAGCUUCAAAGGCCGGUGUGCGG